rnacentral:rRNA from 1 species
UGGGGAAUAUUGGACAAUGGGCGCAAGCCUGAUCCAGCCAUGCCGCGUGAGUGAUGAAGGCCCUAGGGUUGUAAAGCUCUUUCAACGGUGAAGAUAAUGACGGUAACCGUAGAAGAAGCCCCGGCUAACUUCGUGCCAGCAGCCGCGGUAAUACGAAGGGGGCUAGCGUUGUUCGGAAUUACUGGGCGUAAAGCGCACGUAGGCGGAUAUUUAAGUCAGGGGUGAAAUCCCGGGGCUCAACCCCGGAACUGCCUUUGAUACUGGAUAUCUCGAGUCCGAGAGAGGUGAGUGGAAUUCCGAGUGUAGAGGUGAAAUUCGUAGAUAUUCGGAGGAACACCAGUGGCGAAGGCGGCUCACUGGCUCGGUACUGACGCUGAGGUGCGAAAGCGUGGGGAGCAAACAGGAUUAGAUACCCCCGUAGUCC